GACGGAGGAUGCAAGCGUUAUCCGGAAUGAUUGGGCGUAAAGCGUCCGCAGGUGGCAGUUCAAGUCUGCUGUCAAAGACCGGGGCUUAACUUCGGAAAGGCAGUGGAAACUGAACAGCUAGAGUAUGGUAGGGGCAGAGGGAAUUCCUGGUGUAGCGGUGAAAUGCGUAGAGAUCAGGAAGAACAUCGGUGGCGAAGGCGCUCUGCUGGACCCCUCCUGACGCUGAUGCGCGAAAGCCAGGGUAGCGAACGGG
rnacentral:rRNA from 1 species